AUCCAGAUGACGAGUCCCAAAUAGGAAGAAAUGGGUAUCCUGGAU
rfam:Trichobilharzia regenti genome assembly, scaffold: TRE_scaffold0000928